UACGUAGGGGGCUAGCGUUGUCCGGAAUUAUUGGGCGUAAAGAGCUUGUAGGCGGUUUGUCGCGUCUGCUGUGAAAUUUCGGGGCUCAACCCCGAACUUGCAGUGGGUACGGGCAGACUAGAGUGUGGUAGGGGAGACUGGAAUUCCUGGUGUAGCGGUGAAAUGCGCAGAUAUCAGGAGGAACACCAAUGGCGAAGGCAGGUCUCUGGGCCGCUACUGACGCUGAGAAGCGAAAGCAUGGGGAGCGAACAGG
rnacentral:rRNA from 1 species